AAAAAGGAUAUGCUCAGCUUGAAAAUUGAAGCUUCUGGUUUUGAAUUGUAGUUUUGAAAUGUAUUGCCGAUGGAGGUGCAGGUGUAAGCCUGUUGGAAAACAGUGUCAGUGAGGGUGAGGUGCCUUUUUGUCAUUUGCAGUCCUCCAAAGCACGGUAUAUAUUUGACGAGUCACACUCCUUUGGCAUUGGAAUGCAAAGUGGGUGGUAAAUUCCAUGAAAAGGGAAAUACAUUUUUGAGACUGAUAGCAAACAAGUACCAUGAGGGAAAUAUGAAAAGGACUUUGAAAAGAGAAUUAAAAGAGUCUGCAUUUGCUGAACAGAAAGCAAACAGAAUGAAUUCUGCUUGGUUAGAUUAUUGUGCCGUCUGCUUUGUUUAUUUGUGUUGCAUCAGGGUGCAAUGGUUCUUUCCUUGAAUGCCAGCUUUAUUUCUGCAAAUCGUAAUCUUUGUGCAUGAAUGGAAAUACGUCUGCGGGUAUUGGAUUGCAUGUGUUUGUGGGUGAUUUUGUGAUUUACCUAUAUGUGUGUCUUGUGUUGGUGGCUUGUGAGCUUAAGGGGUUGUUUUCAUUCUUGAGCAUGGGAAACCUUGAUUGCAUAUUUGCUGGCAACAUGUUUCUGCUUGACCCGUCUUGAAACACGGACCAAGGAGUCUAACAGAUGUGCAAAUUUGUGGGUGCGCAAACCUGUUUGUGAAAUGAAAGUAUUGGCUGGGAUACUUGCACCAGCAGCCGACCAAUUGGCAGACAGAGGUUUGAGCUUGAGCAUAUCUAUUAGGACCCGAAAGAUGGUGAACUAUGCCUGAACAGAAUGAAUUCAGAGGAAACUCUGAUGGAGGUUCGUAUCGUUACUGACGUGCAAAUCGUUCGUC
rnacentral:rRNA from 1 species